rnacentral:rRNA from 1 species
UUACUGACACUGAGGAGCGAAAGCGUGGGGAGCGAACAGGAUUAGAUACCCUGGUAGUCCACGCCGUAAACGGUGGGCACUAGUUGUGGGGACCUUCCACGGUCUCUGCGACGCAGCUAACGCAUUAAGUGCCCCGCCUGGGGAGUACGAUCGCAAGAUUAAAACUCAAAGGAAUUGACAGGGCCCCGCACAAGCAGCGGAGCAUGCGGCUUAAUUCGACGCAACGCGAAGAACCUUACCAAGGCUUGACAUAUACAGGAAUAUGGUAGAGAUGUCAUAGCCGCAAGGUCUGUAUACAGGUGGUGCAUGGUUGUCGUCAGCUCGUGUCGUGAGAUGUUGGGUUAAGUCCCGCAACGAGCGCAACCCUCGUUCUGUGUUGCCAGCAUUUAGUUGGGGACUCACAGGAGACUGCCGGGGUUAACUCGGAGGAAGGUGGGGAUGACGUCAAAUCAUCAUGCCCCUUAUGUCUUGGGCUGCACGCAUGCUACAAUGGCUGGUACAAACGGCUGCGAUACCGCAAGGUGGAGCGAAUCCGAUAAAGCCAGUCUCAGUUCGGAUUGGGGUCUGCAACUCGACCCCAUGAAGU